rnacentral:rRNA from 1 species
AACUCUGAUUGCAGCAAUGGCAUGCUCCAAGCCCGCCGAGACUGAAUCAUUUGACACCAGUUCUCUGCACAGCGUGGCUCGACGUGCAGCCCGCCAGCUCCUUCGUGUACAUCCAGACAAGAUGCUGUGGUGUACAAUUUAAUGCAUGAAGAUGCAGCAAAAAGCAAGAUUCACAAGUUCAUCUUCUGGAUGCUUUUCAGUACAUCUACUUCCCGUUGGAGCGCCCUGGCCGAUCACAGCCACCACCGCAGGCCGUUCAACGCCACCUCCGCAGGCGGUUCAUCGCAAAAACAGCGACCUGGAUCCCGCUGGUUCCCACCAGCAACGCCCGUUCGAGCACGUCGUCACUCUCCUGCUGCAGCGUGGCUCAGCUACUGCACUUGGUGGAGGGCGCGAUGGAGGUUGGUAACAGGGGCGAUUCGGCCAUGGAGUUGGAGGCGGAAGUGAGCCUGUUCGCGGCGGCGACCUCCGGUUCCCCGGUCCCCGGCGGCGUGGCUCAUCGGCCAGGCGGCUGGGCCUCAAGAACAGCAUCCAGACCAACUUCGGCGACGACUACGUCUUCCAGAUUGCUUCUUGGUAGGCAGAUAAGAACAGAGAAUGGUGUAGCUUCAGUCUAGCUUCCAGCAAGUUUUUCCUUCCCG